UCUUAACACUAUCACCUGACGAGUUAGGAUGCUGACACAUAAAUUCUGGGGGGACGCAAACAUUCAGUCCACUGCACUAUGUUUUUUUGUUUUAUGUAUAUUUUAACCCUGAUAUAACUAUGCCUACCAUGAUGUAUUAUAUUCACAUUGUGGGGUUGAAUUAUUCUCAUUUUUUUUCAUAUGCAUUUUCCCUUGAAGGCAAUUCCUUUAAAUAUAGUAGAAUUUUAAUACUAAUUUGUCACCUUACUAUAAUGAAUUAACAUUUACUGUCUUUUUUUAUAGGAAGUGAUAAGGCAUUAAAAGAAUAUCCAGAGUCUACAUAGAGAGGUGUUACAUAACAUUUUGUCUUUUGAGGGAUGUUUGGGUGACCUAAGAUUGUAAUUUAAGAGUCAUAGUAGUGGAAACUAAUACUUCUGGCACUUGAUUUGUGCCAGAUGUUUUCAAAGCACUUUACAUAUAUUGACAAAUUUAAUAUUCAAAUAAAAAUGUUAUGAGUGAAGUCCUCUUAGUAGUGACAUCAAAGAUCUUGUAACUGAUCAUAUGUCGAUCUCCACACUGGGUUUACGAAACUCAGAGGGAAAUGGUGAUCCUCAGCUAAAUAAUGUAGCAAGAUAUUAUACUUUAUGUCAUAUUAUUAAAGCAUUAUUGAUGUACAACAAAGUUCAUGCUUUUUAGAUAUAUAGUUCAAUGAUUUUUGAUAAAUGUACAUAGUCUUACAUUUCUAUAAGUGUAUAGAAAGAACUACCACAAUCUAGUUAUGAAAUAUUUUCAUCCACCAUAGAGUUCUUUCUUGCCUUCUUAUAGUUAAUCUCCCUCCUCCACUUUCAGUCCUUGGAAACCACUGAUUUCAUUUUUGUCACUGAUUUGCCUUUUCAACAAAGCAGUACAAAUAGAAUCAUACAAGUUACAGUUUUUUUGUGUCUGGCUACUUUUACUUACUGCUUUACAUAAUGCUUCUGUAAUUCAUCCAUGUUGGUGGAUACAUCAAGUUUGUCUCUUUUUAUUUCUGACUAGAAUCUUGUAUGGAAUCUAGCUUCAUUUUGAUAAUUAAAUUGUGUCUGGCUUCAUCUCCUCCACCCUUCCCCAGUGCUUCUUUACUGCUUUAUUUUUUAAAAAUCUUAUUUGGUACCAUAUCUAUCUUUGCAAAUGACCUUGAAUUAUUUUUGGUGCAGGUAAGAAAUAGAUGGUUGGAUGACAGAGGGAUACAUUAUACCUUGUACUAAAGUUGACCUGGGAUUACAGGCGUGAGCCACCGCAUCUGGCCUAUUUCCCUUUUAAGCAAAUAUCUGUGUAGUUGGUCUGAGAAUAGUCUGAUGUGAAAGACCUUGGCUCCCAGAAACUGGUACAUGAUACUUCUCACAUCUCAUUGGCCAGAAAACAGUCACAUGAACAUGUAACAGCAAACAGGCUAGGAAAUGCAAUCUUGAUUAUGAAAGACCAUUUAACCAUCUAAAAUUGGGGUCUCUAACAAAACAGAAGAGGGCAAAGUAUUUUGAGAAAAACUAACUGCAGUCUCUAAAUAUGUAGGCUCAAUUAUUAUCUUCCUUUUCCAAAUGAGGAAAGUGAGGCAUAGAGAUGUUAAGACUCAUGCCUGGCAUUGUACAAUAUUCCCUUCAGUUUUUAUUCAUUCUGUUACAAAUGCUUGUUGAAAGGUCAAGACCAGCCUGGCCAACAUAGUGAAACCCCGUAUCUACUAAAAAUA